AGUGACUGCUUGGGCUAUAGUUACGUAAACUUAAUAAGGAUCUUCUAUCACUUGGCAGUAAGACAUACACUAAAAAUAGACAAAGGAAGACCUCAGUUUGUUUGAUAUUACGUCAGCACACAGGAAAUGUAUUACUGCGUACAUUAAUGUAGUGACUACUUGGGUUAUAGUUACGUAAGGUUAAUAAGAAUCUCCUCACACAUGGCAGCUCUAUAAAUAUUCUAAAACUGAAGAAAGAACGAGCUCACUGUGUUAUAUAUUAAGCCUCAUCACCAAGGAAGCACAUAUGAACUUAUUUCGCACAUUAAUUUAGUGACUGCUUGGGUUAUAGUUACGUAAGGUUAAUAAGAAUCUCCUCACACAUGGCAGCCCGAUAAAUACUGAAACUGAAGAAAGAACGAGCUCACUGUUCUAUAUAAUAAUCCUCAUCACCAAGGGCAAGGAAGCACAUAUGAACUUACUUCGUACAUUAAUUUAGUGAUUGCUUGGGUUAUAGUUACGUAAGGUUAAUAAGGAUCUCGUCACACAUGGCAGCCCGAUAAAUACUGAAACUGAAGAAAGAACGAGCUCACUGUUCUAUAUAAUAAUCCUCAUCACCAAGGAAGCACGUAUGAACUUACUGAGUGUAUAAAUGUUUUGACUACUUGGGUUACAGUUAGGUAAAGUUACUAAGGUCUCACGCACAUUACAGCUAGAUAUAGAUACGAAGAAGCAGGAAAGAAUGACCUCUGUUUGUUUGAUAAUAAGUUACAUCAACGUGGAAGCUGAUAUGAAUUGACUACGUACAUACAGUAGCUGAGUUAUGGUUACUAAAGUUAAUAGGGGUUUCUCCACAUACAUAGCAAUUAUAUAUAUACGUAAAUCAACAAAGAAUGACUUAAAUUUGUUAGAUAAUUAGUCAGGAUGGAAGAAUAUACGAAUUUAACGCCUUCGUAAAUAUAGGAGGUAUAUAACUCUUUGGGUUAUACUGUGGCAGAGUUAGUAAUGGUUUCUGCACACACAUGACAUCUGGACAUAUAUACAAAAAAUCAUUAGAGAAAGACCUCAGUUUGUUAGCUAAGAGGACUAGGCUGAUUAGCGCUUAGAACACUCACUACCGCCAACGUCUACCUAACUAUACCUAUUAACUGAAGAUUUAAAGAAGAGUACGGUAAUGAUAACAUAUAUACUAAGAAUAUAAAAAAACAGACCUCAGUUUGUUAAAGACUAGCCUGACCUUACCUAACUAUAUGCCUGUUAACUGAAGAUCGAUAAGAGUAAUAAUAAUAACAUAUAAAAAAAAUGAACAAAGAAAGACCUCAGUUUGUUAGAUAGAGAUGAGACUGACCUUACCCAACUCUGCACACAAGAACAUAGGGAGUUUGCAAGAGGCCGGUAGGUUAAUUAAAGAUGAAUAAGAAGAGUAAUAAUAAUAAUAACAUAUACAAAGAAAGACCUCAGUUUGUUAGAUAGAGAUGACUGACCUUACCCAACUCUACACACAAUAACAUAGGGAGUUUGCAAGAGGCCGGUAGGUUAACUAAAGAUGAAUAAGAAGAGUAUUAAUAACAAUAACAUAUACAAAAAAAAAAUAACAAAGAAAGGUGUCAGUUUGUUAGAUAGUGAUGAGACUGACCUUACCCAAACCACACACAAGAACAUAGGGAGUUUGCAAGAGGCCGGUAGGUUAACUAAAGAUGAAUAGGUAGAGUAAUAAUAAUAAUAACACAAAAAAAUGAACAAAGAAAGACCUCAGUUUGUUAGAUAGAGAUGGAACUGACCUUACCCAACUCUGCACACAAGAACAUAGGGAGUUUGCAAGAGGCCGGUAGGUUAACUAAAAAUAAAUAAGUAGAGUAAUAAUAAUAAUAAUAAUAACAACAAAAAAUGAAGAAAGAAAGAACUCAGUUUGGUAGAUAGAGAUUGGACUGACCUUACCCAACUCUGCACUCAAGGACAUAGUGAGUUUGCAAGAGGCCGGUAGGUUAACUAAAAAUGAAUAAGUAGAGUAAUAAUAAUAAUAACAAAAAAUGAACAAA